rnacentral:rRNA from 1 species
UGCCAGCCGCCGCGGUAAUACGGAGGGGGUUAGCGUUGUUCGGAAUUACUGGGCGUAAAGCGCACGUAGGCGGAUUAGUAAGUUAGGGGUGAAAUCCCGGGGCUCAACCCCGAGACGCCAUCCGAUACUGCGCUGACUUGAAUCCAGUAGGGGAGUGUGGAAUUCCUGGUGUAGCGGUGAAAUGCGCAGAUAUCAGGAGGAACACCUAUGGCGAAGGCAGCACUCUGGGCUGGUAUUGACGCUGAGGAGCGAAAGCAUGGGUAGCAAACAGGAUUAGAUA